GUAGUUACUACGGUUAUCGACACGUUGUAGAUAACUGUGACAUUUAAUUAUUUGAUCUGCCCUUUAAUAUCGAGAACAAUAACUUUGAAAAUAUUUUCAUAUCUGUUAUUCAAUUGAAAAUUAGAUCAUCACUCGAAAAGUAAUUGUUUUAUAUUUUGAAAAAAAAUUUGCAUUUCAAAAAAAGCAAAAACAUUUGUAUUAUGUAACAAAAAUCAUAUUGGAAAAUAUGUUGUUUUGAAAGCGUCUCUUAAUCAUUGCUAUAUUCGCUAUGCUCAGUUUGCAUAGUCUCUCUAUUAAUUUUUAUACAAUCAUAAAAGAUUUUAUUGAUUUAAUUUCAAGAAAUACAGUUCGCAUUGCGAUAGAACAAGUUUCAAAGUGUUUUAUGUGUUCGAUAUUAUGGCUCGAGGGGAAAUAUUAACAUAAAAAUGUUAAAUGCGUAUCAACAUAGGCAAAAAAGACAACAUGUCAAUUUGUAAUAAAGCUUUGAUUUUAAGAAAACAAAAAUAUUCAAUGUCAAAUGUACUUUUAAACAAAUGUAAUAGAGUGGAAUUUUAAAAACAAAACAAAACAUCGAUUUUCAUUGCUUCGCAUUAUUUUUGUAUGAUUUUAUAACUCAUUAAUAAUACCUUUUAUUUAUUC